GAAUAAAAGAAAACUGAGUAUUAGACAUCUGGUGGGCUGCAGGAAGGGUUGGGGGCGAGGCUGUGUAUAUAUGGCUAAAAGUGUUUGCAAGACACUCCGCCAUGCCACUGGGAUCACUAACUGUAGACCCGAGACUCGUCUGGAGCCCAGGAAGAAGCUUGUGUCUGAGUACGAGUCGCUGAUGGAAGUGGCGGCGCUGUCAGCCAGAGUCCAGCUGGCCACCUCUCCGGGCCCAUAGUCGUGGGGGGCAUCUUGGCGGAGAGUACUGUAGUGUUCAUGGAGCUCCUGGCUCAAAUUACAAGCAAAAGUACUUGAAGGGCGGGAACUUCAGGCUGCUGAGUACCCCCUUGGCCGAGGGAGGGGACCAGGCCUUCCUCACACCUACUUUACUCAGGUCAACCACAAGAGUCUGGACUUCCAGAUCAAGUACGGGUCCAGCCUGCAGCACCUCCACAGGGUAGUGAGCCAGCUGGAGGCCCACCUGGAGCAGUCUGGCAGCCUCAGCACCCUGCUGGCCCUCGUGGAGCAGCUCACCUACAGGCUGGGCCAGCUGGCGCCAGGGCAGGCCGAGGAGGCACACCCACCGGCGCUGGAGUCACACACAGACACACUGACCAGCAAGCAGCAGUUGAUCUCAAAAA